GAAGGGACCUAGCGUAGUUCGGAAUUACUGGGCUUAAAGAGUUCGUAGGUGGUUAAAAAAGUUGGUGGUGAAAUCCCAGAGCUUAACUCUGGAACUGCCAUCAAAACUUUUUAGCUAGAGUAUGAUUGAGGAAAGCAGAAUUUCUAGUGUAGAGGUGAAAUUCGUAGAUAUUAGAAAGAAUACCGAUUGCGAAGGCAGCUUUCUGGAUCAUCACUGACGCUGAGGAACGAAAGCAUGGGUAGCGAAGAGGAUUAGAUACCCUCGUAGUCCAUGCCGUAAACGAUGUGUGUUAGACGUUGGAAAUUUAUUUUCAGUGUCGCAGCGAAAGCAUUAAACACACCGCCUGGGGAGUACGACCGCAAGGUUAAAACUCAAAUGAAUUGACGGGGACCCGCACAAGUAGUGGAGCAUGUGGUUUAAUUCGAAGAUACGCGCAGAACCUUACCAACACUUGACAUGUUCGUCCCGACCCUAAGAAAUUAAAGUUUUCCGGUCCGGCCGGAACACAGGUGCUGCAUGGCUGUCGUCAGCUCGUGUCGUGAGAUGUUGGGUUAAGUCCCGCAACGAGCGCAACCCUCACUUUUAGUUCCCAUCAUUUAGUUGGGCACUCUGAGAGAACUGCCAGUGAUAAGCUGGAGGAAGGUGGGGAUGACGUCAAGUCCUCAUGGCCCUUACGUGUUGGGCUACACACGUGCUACAAUGGCAUUUACAAUAGGAAGCAAGGUGGCGACAUCAAGCAAAUCCU
rnacentral:rRNA from 1 species